CUAAAUAUGGCAGAUCAGUGCUCUAGAUUUAAGCUCUAGUUAGAAGUUUUUUACUUUAUUUAGG
rnacentral:tRNA from 1 species